rnacentral:rRNA from 1 species
CAAUAGCGUAUAUUUAAGUUGUUGCAGUUAAAAAGCUCGUAGUUGGAUUUCGGUUAAGAGCGACCGGUCCGCCGUUUGGUGUGCACUGGUUGGUUUUAACUUCCUGUAGAGGACGUGCUCUGGGUUUAACGACCUGGACUCGGAGUCUACGUGGUUACUUUGAAAAAAUUAGAGUGUUCAAAGCGGGCUUACGCUUGAAUAUUUCAGCAUGGAAUAACACUAUAGGACUCCUGUCCUAUUUCGUUGGUCUCGGGACGGGAGUAAUGAUUAAGAGGAACAGUUGGGGGCAUUCGUAUUUCACUGUCAGAGGUGAAAUUCUUGGAUUUAUGAAAGACGAACUUCUGCGAAAGCAUUUGCCAAGGAUGUUUUCAUUAA